rnacentral:snoRNA from 1 species
AAGAUCAUACUUGAUAGGAUCAUUUCUAUAGUAUGUUCUCCACUCGCACUUUGUAAAGAAGUCCGAUCUACCACCGUCGAGGACGACUCCUAUGCCGCCCUGUCACGAUCGACGCAGGCGCAGCCUCACGGCUCGCGUUGGAUGAGCGUUUCAAGUGGCGGGGGGUACGUCAGAGACGG